rnacentral:tRNA from 1 species
GGAGAGGUGUCCGAGCGGUUGAAGGUGCAGUCCUGGAAAGACUGUGUGCCCAAAAGGCACCGAGGGUUCGAAUCCCUCCCUCUCCG